rnacentral:rRNA from 1 species
GGGGAAUAUUGCACAAUGGGCGAAAGCCUGAUGCAGCAACGCCGCGUGAAGGAUGAAGGUCUUCGGAUUGUAAACUUCUAUCAGCAGGGAAGAAUAAAUGACGGUACCUGACUAAGAAGCUCCGGCUAACUACGUGCCAGCAGCCGCGGUAAUACGUAGGGAGCAAGCGUUAUCCGGAUUUACUGGGUGUAAAGGGUGCGUAGGCGGCUUGGUAAGUCUAAAGUGAAAUUUCGGGGCUCAACCCCGGAGCUGAUUUGGAAACUGCCGAGCUAGAGUGUGGGAGAGGAAAGCGGAACUUUGAGUGUAGCGGUGAAAUGCGUAGAGAUUCAAAGGAACACCAGUAGCGAAGGCGGCUUUCUGGACCAUAACUGACGCUGAGGCACGAAAGCGUGGGGAGCAAAC